CAUGCAAGUCGAGGGGCAGCAUGUUGGUUGCUUGCAACCAAUGAUGGCGACCGGCGCACGGGUGAGUAACGCGUAUCCAACCUACCCUUGUCCAUCGGAUAACCCGUCGAAAGGCGGCCUAACACGAUAUGCGGUUCACAGCAGGCAUCUAAGGUGAACGAAAUGUGAAGGAGAAGGAUGGGGAUGCGUCUGAUUAGCUUGUUGGCGGGGUAACGGCCCACCAAGGCUACGAUCAGUAGGGGUUCUGAGAGGAAGGUCCCCCACAUUGGAACUGAGACACGGUCCAAACUCCUACGGGAGGCAGCAGUGAGGAAUAUUGGUCAAUGGACGAGAGUCUGAACCAGCCAAGUAGCGUGCAGGAUGACGGCCCUAUGGGUUGUAAACUGCUUUUAUAGGGGGAUAAAGUGUGCCACGUGUGGCAUAUUGCAGGUACCCUAUGAAUAAGGACCGGCUAAUUCCGUGCCAGCAGCCGCGGUAAUACGGAAGGUCCAGGCGUUAUCCGGAUUUAUUGGGUUUAAAGGGAGCGUAGGCCGUUUGGUAAGCGUGUUGUGAAAUGUCGGGGCUCAACCUGGGCAUUGCAGCGCGAACUGCCAGACUUGAGUGCGCAGGAAGUAGGCGGAAUUCGUCGUGUAGCGGUGAAAUGCUUAGAUAUGAC
rnacentral:rRNA from 1 species